UUUGCCUACGGGAGGUAGCAGUGGGGAAUAUUGGACAAUGGGGGGAACCCUGAUCCAGCGACGCCGCGUGAGUGAAGAAGUAUUUCGGUACGUAAAGCUCUAUCAGCAGGGAAGAAAGAAAUGACGGUACCUGACUAAGAAGCCCCGGCUAACUACGUGCCAGCAGCCGCGGUAAUACGUAGGGGGCAAGCGUUAUCCUGCUUUACUGGGUGUAAAGGUAGCGUAGACGGCGAUGCAAGUCUGAAGUGAAAGGCGGGGGCCCAACCCCCGGACUGCUU
rnacentral:rRNA from 1 species